rnacentral:rRNA from 1 species
AGAACUUAGCAGAGAUGCUUUGGUGCCUUCGGGAACUCUGAGACAGGUGCUGUAUGGCUGUCGUCAGCUCGUGUUGUGAAAUGUUGGUUAAGUCCCGCAACGAGCGCAACCCUUAUCCUUUGUUGCCAGCGAUUCGGUCGGGAACUCAAAGGAGACUGCCAGUGAUAAACUGGAGGAAGGUGGGGAUGACGUCAAGUCAUCAUGGCCCUUACGAGUAGGGCUACACACGUGCUACAAUGGCGCAUACAAAGAGAAGCGACCUCGCGAGAGCAAGCGGACCUCAUAAAGUGCGUCGUAGUCCGGAUUGGAGUCUGCAACUCGACUCCAUGAAGUCGGAAUCGCUAGUAAUCGUAGAUCAGAAUGCUACGGUGAAUACGUUCCCGGGCCUUGUACACACCGCCCGUCACACCAUGGGAGUGGGUUGCAAAAGAAGUAGGUAGCUUAACUUUCGGGAGGGCGCUUACCACUUUGUGAUUCAUGACUGGGGUGAAGUCGUAACAAGGUAAGCGUAGUGCU